rnacentral:rRNA from 1 species
GACGAACGCUGGCGGCGUGCUUAACACAUGCAAGUCGAACGGAAAGGCCCUGCUUUUGUGGGGUGCUCGAGUGGCGAACGGGUGAGUAACACGUGAGUAACCUGCCCUUGACUUUGGGAUAACUUCAGGAAACUGGGGCUAAUACCGGAUAGGAGCUCCUGCUGCAUGGUGGGGGUUGGAAAGUUUCGGCGGUUGGGGCUGGACUCGCGGCUUAUCAGCUUGUUGGUGGGGUAGUGGCUUACCAAGGCUUUGACGGGUAGCCCGCCUGAGAGGGUGACCGGCCACAUUGGGACUGAGAUACGGCCCAGACUCCUACGGGAGGCAGCAGUGGGGAAUAUUGCACAAUGGGCGGAAGCCUGAUGCAGCAACGCCGCGUGCGGGAUGACGGCCUUCGGGUUGUAAACCGCUUUCGCCUGUGACGAAGCGUGAGUGACGGUAAUGGGUAAAGAAGCACCGGCUAACUACGUG